rnacentral:rRNA from 1 species
AUGUUGUUUGUCGAUGCCGUCGUAAUAAUAUCUGCCAGUAAUUUUCAUUGGUGUUCAUUUCUGGGCAAGCUUAGGGCAUCUCCAACACGGACUCUUAAAUCACCGUACAUGUUCUUUGUGGGAGUCGAGCAUUUUCUGCCAUCCAAUGUUAUGCCUCGAACCUGCGCAGACGCGUCCGAACGUUCAAAUUUCAGCAAACUUGGGAGGCUGUGCAGGAGCAGGACCAAGCAAAAGUCACCACAUAUCCCUCCUCCGUACAGAAGGCCGCUUGCUUUUAUUUCUGUUUGGUGGAAGAUGAUUAUUCCCUCCGUUUCAAAAUACUUGAUUUCCAUUUGUCUAAAAAUGAAUAUACCUAUAUACUAA